AAAGAAGAAGAUUCACAACAACAGCAUCAAAAAAAAACAAAAAAAAUGUUGCCAUCUGUCUAUCGCUCAUAUGAUCAGAGUCAACCUUCUUUCUUUUUUUCAUCCUCUAUUGCGUACAUAAUGAGAGGUGGAAAUCGAGUGAGGAAGGUACUUGGG
rnacentral:ribozyme from 1 species